rnacentral:lncRNA from 1 species
UCCUAAUUUUUCUAAAAAACUCACGUUAACUUAUAUUUCCUGAAACUAUUUUAUAAUCUCCUAUAUAAAUUAAUCUACUUUCUCUUAUAUAUUGUAUCUCUGACACAAGCAUCGUAUCUUCAAAGGUGAGACUAUAAAUUUUGACAUUUGAGGAUCAAGAAUGCGAAGUUAGUGUUUCUCUAAAUUGUACCCAUGGAAAAGCUCAUAAAAAAAACAAUCAUUGUAUUACUGCAUCAUGUCUACAGCAUGUCAUCAAAAAGAAAAAGUAAGUGUUCCAUUGUUAUCGAUCUUAGUUUUCCUGCAACAAUAAUAUAAGUUCACAUUUUUAUGAAAGAUUAUUUUCACCCAUGUGCAUCCAUAAUCAAUACUAUUAUUACCUUUUUUUGCUUAUUAAUAUGAAUUUAGAUAUCAAUUUUUCUACGAUAUCAAUUUAUAUUUUAAAUGACUCUUUUAUAUAUUGCUAUAAAAUUAAUUUAACAAUAAAAAUAGACAAACAUUGAUAACUACCCACGUUCUAUCACACAAACUAAUUUCCUAAUUAUUCUUAACUUACCACCAUCAUCGCACGAUCAACCAUA